GUCGCCUGCAGUCCGUGGAGAAAAGUAGCUUUUUUUUCUGGUAAAGUUACACUGGGUACAUGGGCCACAUCAAUCAUUACCGUCCGGCACAUUGUCUAGGAAAGUACUACGUGGCUGUGGUGGAAGAUCAGACCUCACCACCAUUUGACUGAUGUUGGGGGCGUGUCUGAAGGCUACCCGUCGGGGUUCUUUAAUCGUCUUUUCCAGUUGUGGAUCAAUGAUCAAGACGUGCCAGUGUUUUAAUGAUGUGGUCCAACUGUUUACCAAGUGGGGAGAACUGAAGGAAGCAUUGAACAUGUUGGUCUGGAGGGAGGGAGGUUUGGGGAGAACUGAAGGAAGCAUUGAACAUGUUGGUCUGGAGGGAGGGGAGGUUUGGGGAGAACUGAAGGAAGCAUUGAACAUGUUGGUCUGGAGGGAGGGGAGGUUUGGGGAGUACUGAAGGAAGCAUUGAACAUGUUGGUCUGAAGGGAGGGGAGGUUUGGGGAGUACUGAAGGAAGCAUUGAACAUGUUGGUCUGGAGGGAGGGGAGGUUUGGGGAGAACUGAAGGAAGCAUUGAACAUGUUGG
rnacentral:lncRNA from 1 species